rnacentral:misc_RNA from 1 species
GACGGAGGGAGCAAGCGUUGCUCGGAAUCACUGGGCGUAAAGGGCGUGUAGGCGGGACGGUAAGUCGGAUGUGAAAGCCCUGGGCUCAACCCAGGAAGUGCAUUCGAAACUACCGUUCUUGAGUAUGACAGAGGAGAGCGGAAUUCCCGGUGUAGCGGUGAAAUGCGUAGAUAUCGGGAAGAACAUCUGUGGCGAAGGCGGCUCUCUGGGUCACUACUGACGCUGAGGCGCGAAAGCUAGGGGAGCGAACGGG